AUUGAACGCUGGCGGUAUGCCUUACACAUGCAAGUCGAACGGUAACGCGGUUUGGGGUGGCUCUGAGUGGCGGACGGGUGCGUACUACUUCGGAAUGCACCCGAAUGUGGGGGUUAAUGAGGGGUAAGGUAUGCUAAUUUACCCUACGAUCUCCGGCUACCUGCAGGGGAAAGCAAGGGCUCUUCGGACCGGACGCGAUGAUGGCAGAUUAGGUAGUUGGUGGGAUAAAAGCUUACCAAGGCGACGAUCUGUAGCUGGUCUGAGAGGAUGAUCAGCCACACUGGGACUGAGACACGGCCCAGACUCCUACGGGAGGCAGCAGUGGGGAAUAUUGGACAAUGGGCGCAAGCCUGAUCCAGCCAUGCCGCGUGCAGGAUGAAGGCCUUCGGGUUGUAAACUGCUUUUGUACGGAACGAAAAGCCGUAGGUUAAUACACGGGUGUCAUGACGGUACCGAAAGAAUAAGCACCGGCUAACUACGUG
rnacentral:rRNA from 1 species